rnacentral:rRNA from 1 species
UGGGGAAUAUUGCACAAUGGGCGCAAGCCUGAUGCAGCCAUGCCGCGUGUAUGAAGAAGGCCUUCGGGUUGUAAAGUACUUUCAGCGGGGAGGAAGGGAGUAAAGUUAAUACCUUUGCUCAUUGACGUUACCCGCAGAAGAAGCACCGGCUAACUCCGUGCCAGCAGCCGCGGUAAUACGGAGGGUGCAAGCGUUAAUCGGAAUUACUGGGCGUAAAGCGCACGCAGGCGGUUUGUUAAGUCAGAUGUGAAAUCCCCGGGCUCAACCUGGGAACUGCAUCUGAUACUGGCAAGCUUGAGUCUCGUAGGGGGGGGUAGAAUUCCAGGUGUAGCGGUGAAAUGCGUAGAGAUCUGGAGGAAUACCGGUGGCGAAGGCGGCCCCCUGGACGGAGACUGACGCUCAGGUGCGAAAGCGUGGGGAGCAAACAGG